AACAGAAAUUCGUAAAAUCGAGUAAAUCACUGCAGAAAACUCGUCCCCUCAAGCGAACUUGACCUCGAUGACCUUCGUUUUCGUCGGCGACGGCACUGGCAGCCUCUCCAUAGAGAAAGAAAGCCCCGCCUCCUCCCACGCCGGCAGCUUCUCGACUGUGACAGUAAGCACUCCAUCCUUCCACACCGCCGAGACUGCCUUCGUAUUCGCAUUCUCCGGCAGCUCGAACUUCCGCAUCCUCUUCCCCGUCCAGCGCUCCAUCAUCUCGUACUUCUCCUCCUCCUCUCUCUUCCGCUCACCGCUGAUCACCAGCGCUCUGUCGUCCUCCACCUCAACCUUGAUGUCGUCAGAUUUGACGCCGGGGAUGUCGAUCAUGUAGAGGUAGGAGUUGAGGAGGUCCUUGAUGUCAGCAGGGUUGACGUCCUUGGGGACGCUGGCGACACCGAGCUGGACCAACAGUUUGUGGAACGCGGCGACGAAAGUGUCAAAUUCCUCUUUGGUGAGCUUCGGAUCCAUGGAUUUUGAUUUCUUGAGGUCAAUUUAU
rnacentral:misc_RNA from 1 species